UACGUAGGGGGCGAGCGUUGUCCGGAGUUACUGGGCGUAAAGGGCAUGCAGGCGGUCGGACGCGUUUCGGGUGACAGCGGGUGGCUUAACUACCCGAGUGGUCGAAAGACGGUUUGACUUGAGGACGCGAGAGGGACACGGAAUUCCGGGUGGAGUGGUGAAAUGCGUAGAGAUCCGGAGGAACACCGGUGGCGAAGGCGGCAUUCUGGACCGACAUUGACGCUGAGGAGCGAAAGCCAGGGGAGCAAACGGG
rnacentral:rRNA from 1 species